AGUGAACGCUGGCGGUAGGCCUAACACAUGCAAGUCGAACGGCAGCACAGUAAGAGCUUGCUCUUACGGGUGGCGAGUGGCGGACGGGUGAGGAAUACAUCGGAAUCUACUUUUUCGUGGGGGAUAACGUAGGGAAACUUACGCUAAUACCGCAUACGACCUACGGGUGAAAGCAGGGGAUCUUCGGACCUUGCGCGAUUGAAUGAGCCGAUGUCGGAUUAGCUAGUUGGCGGGGUAAAGGCCCACCAAGGCGACGAUCCGUAGCUGGUCUGAGAGGAUGAUCGGCCACACUGGAACUGAGACACGGUCCAGACUCCUACGGGAGGCAGCAGUGGGGAAUAUUGGACAAUGGGCGCAAGCCUGAUCCAGCCAUACCGCGUGGGUGAAGAAGGCCUUCGGGUUGUAAAGCCCUUUUGUUGGGAAAGAAAAGCAGCAGGUUAAUACCCCGCUGUUCUGACGGUAACCAAAGAAUAAGCACCGGCUAACUUCGUG
rnacentral:rRNA from 1 species